CCAGCAGCCGCGGUAAUACGUAGGGCGCAAGCGUUAUCCGGGAAUUAUUGGGCGUAAAGAGCUCGUAGGCGGUUUGUCGCGUCUGCCGUGAAAGUCCGGGGCUCAACUCCGGAUCUGCGGUGGGUACGGGCAGACUAGAGUGAUGUAGGGGAGACUGGAAUUCCUGGUGUAGCGGUGAAAUGCGCAGAUAUCAGGAGGAACACCGAUGGCGAAGGCAGGUCUCUGGGCAUUAACUGACGCUGAGGAGCGAAAGCAUGGGGAGCGAACAGGAUUAGAUACCCUGGUAGUCCAUGCCGUAAACGUUGGGCACUAGGUGUGGGGGACAUUCCACGUUUUCCGCGCCGUAGCUAACGCAUUAAGUGCCCCGCCUGGGGAGUACGGCCGCAAGGCUAAAACUCAAAGGAAUUGACGGGGGCCCGCACAAGCGGCGGAGCAUGCGGAUUAAUUCGAUGCAACGCGAAGAACCUUACCAAGGCUUGACAUGAACCGGAAACGCCUGGAAACAGGUGCCCCGCUUGCGGUCGGUUUACAGGUGGUGCAUGGUUGUCGUCAGCUCGUGUCGUGAGAUGUUGGGUUAAGUCCCGCAACGAGCGCAACCCUCGUUCUAUGUUGCCAGCACGUGAUGGUGGGGACUCAUAGGAGACUGCCGGGGUCAACUCGGAGGAAGGUGGGGACGACGUCAAAUCAUCAUGCCCCUUAUGUCUUGGGCUUCACGCAUGCUACAAUGGCCGGUACAAAGGGUUGCGAUACUGUGAGGUGGAGCUAAUCCCAAAAAGCCGGUCUCAGUUCGGAUUGGGGUCUGCAACUCGACCCCAUGAAGUCGGAGUCGCUAGUAAUCGCAGAUCAGCAACGCUGCGGUGAAUACGUUCCCGGGCCUUGUACACACCGCCCGUCAAGUCACGAAAGUUGGUAACACCCGAAGCCGGUGGCCUAACCCCUUGUGGGAGGGAGCUGUCGAAAGGUGGGACUGGCGAUUGGGACUAAGUCGUAACAAGGUAA
rnacentral:rRNA from 1 species